rnacentral:rRNA from 1 species
AGAGUUUGAUCCUGGCUCAGGAUGAACGCUGGCGGUCUGCUUAACACAUGCAAGUCGAACGGAGUAGAAAUACUUAGUGGCGGACGGGUGAGUAACGCGUGAGAAUCUGCCUUCAGGACGGAGACAACAGUUGGAAACGACUGCUAAGCCCCGAUGAACCGAAAGGGAAAAUAUUUAUAGCCUGAAGAUGAGCUCGCGUCCGAUUAGCUAGUUGGGGGGGUAAAGGCCCACCAAGGCGACGAUCGGUAGCUGGUCUGAGAGGACGAUCAGCCACACUGGGACUGAGACACGGCCCAGACUCCUACGGGAGGCAGCAGUGGGGAAUUUUCCGCAAUGGGCGAAAGCCUGACGGAGCAAUACCGCGUGAGGGAGGAAGGCUCUUGGGUUGUAAACCUCUUUUCUCAAGGAAGAAAAAAAUGACGGUACUUGAGGAAUAAGCAUCGGCUAACUCCGUGCCAGCAGCCGCGGUAAUACGGAGGAUGCAAGCGUUAUCCGGAAUGAUUGGGCGUAAAGCGUCCGCAGGUGGCUAUGUAAGUCUGCUGUUAAAGAGUCUGGCUCAACCAGAUAAAGGCAGUGGAAACUACAUGGCUAGAGUGCGUUCGGGGCAGAGGGAAUUCCUGGUGUAGCGGUGAAAUGCGUAGAGAUCAGGAAGAACACCGGUGGCGAAAGCGCUCUGCUAGGCCGCAACUGACACUGAGGGACGAAAGCUAGGGGAGCGAAUGGGAUUAGAUACCCCCGUAGUCC